CACCUGAUCCCAUGCCGAACUCAGAAGUGAAACGUUGUAGCGCCGAUGGUAGUGUGGGGUCUCCCCAUGUGAGAGUAGGGAACUGCCAAGC
rnacentral:rRNA from 1 species